rnacentral:rRNA from 1 species
UACGUAGGUGGCAAGCGUUGUCCGGAUUUAUUGGGUUUAAAGGGUGCGUAGGCGGCUUUGUAAGUCAGUGGUGAAAUAUGGCAGCUCAACUGUCAGGGUGCCAUUGAUACUGCGGAGCUUGAGUACAGAUGAGGUAGGCGGAAUUGACGGUGUAGCGGUGAAAUGCUUAGAUAUGACACAGAACACCGAUUGCGAAGGCAGCUCUCAAAACUGUAACUGACGCUGAGGCACGAAAGCGUGGGUAUCAAACAGG